rnacentral:tRNA from 1 species
UUGGUGGUGGUUCAGUGGUAGAAUUCUCGCUUCCCAUGUGGGAGACCCAGGUUCAAUUCCCAGCCACUGUA